rnacentral:lncRNA from 1 species
GACAUUGUACUUAUCAGGUCUUCCUUUUCCCUCUGGAAUAAGUCCACACAUGAUCUGGCGUUUUCCAUGCAACUAUUUAGUUCUGUGAGCUUGUGCUCACAUUCAUUGGCCAUCAACAGUAAAUUGUCAUUAUUUUGUUGCAUCUUUUCCAAUUUGGUAUUCAGGUUUUCACGUAACCUUUCUUUCAUCUCUUCAAGUUUGUCUCUCAGGCUCUUUACCGACAUCACUAUUUUCUGCAGUUGAUCUUCUCUCUUUAUUAUUUCCGCCCAUUCAACUUCCAUUCUGUUCUUUUCACUUAGUAAGCCUUCUCUGUCUCUGUCCAUGACGUUCUUCAUGUCCUCCAGCUGUUUUCUUUCACUCUCAAUGUCUUGCUUUUCUCUACUGAGUCGCUCCUUCAGCUCCUCUAGUUCUUGUCUUUCUUCUGCCACUGCAGUCUUGCUGGUUUCCAUGGCGUUCUUCAUGUCCUCCAGCUGUUUUCUUUCACUCUCAACGUCUUGUUUUGAUCUCCUGAGUUUUUCCUUCAGCUCCUCCAGCUCUUGUCUUUCUUCUGCCACUGCAGUCUUGCUGGUUUCCAUUUCUUGUUGCAGUUUUGUUUCCAUGAUGUUCUUCAUUUCCUCCAGCUGUUUUCUUUCACUCUCAGUGUCUUGUUUUGAUCUCCUGAGUUUUUCCUUCAGCUCCUCCAGUCCUUGUCUUUCUUCUGCCACUGCAGUCUUGCUGGUUUCCAUUUCUUGUUGCAGUUUUGUUUCCAUGACGUUCUUCAUUUCCUCCAGCUGUUUUCUUUCACUCUCAAUGUCUUGUUUUGCUCUCCUGAGUUGUUCCUUCAGCUCCUCCAGCUCUUGUCUUUCUUCUGCCACUGCAGUCUUGCUGGUUUCCAUGAUGUUCUUCAUGUCCUCCAGCUGUUUUCUUUCACUCUCAAUGUCUUGCUUUUCUCCCCUGAGUUGUUCCUUAAGCUCCUCUAGUUCUUGUCUUUCUUCUGCCACUGCAGUCUUGCUGGUUUCCAUGACGUUCUUCAUUUCCUCCAGCUGUUUUCUUUCACUCUCAAUGUCUUGCUUUUCUCUACUGAGUCGCUCCUUCAGCUCCUCUAGUCCUUGUCUUUCUUCUGCCACUGCAGUCUUGCUGGUUUCCAUGACGUUCUUCAUUUCCUCCAGCUGUUUUCUUUCACUCUCAAUGUCUUGCUUUUCUCUACUGAGUCGCUCCUUCAGCUCCUCUAGUCCUUGUCUUUCUUCUGCCACUGCAGUCUUGCUGGUUUCCAGUUGUUGUUGCAGUUUUAUUUCCAUGACGUUCUUCAUUUCCUCCAGCUGUUUUCUUUCACUCUCAAUGUCUUGCUUUUCUUUCCUGAGUUGCUCCUUCAGCUCCUCUAGUUCUUGUCUUUCUUCUGCCACUGCAGUCUUGCUGGUUUCCAUGACGUUCUUCAUGUCCUCCAGCUGUUUUCUUUCUCUCUCAAUGUCUUGUUUUGCUCUCCUGAGUUGUUCCUUCAGCUCCUCCAGUCCUUGUCUUUCUUCUGCCACUGCAGUCUUGCUGGUUUCCAGUUUUUGUUGCAGUUUUGUGAGAUCAUUUUCUUUGACUUGUUGUUCUCUUUCUUUCAAGGUGAUGGUGUUCAGAGCAAUUACAAGCUUCUGUCUGUCUGAUUGA